rnacentral:rRNA from 1 species
AUUGAACGCUGGCGGCAGGCCUAACACAUGCAAGUCGAACGGUAACAGGAAGAAGCUUGCUUCUUUGCUGACGAGUGGCGGACGGGUGAGUAAUGUCUGGGAAACUGCCUGAUGGAGGGGGAUAACUACUGGAAACGGUAGCUAAUACCGCAUAACGUCGCAAGACCAAAGAGGGGGACCUUCGGGCCUCUUGCCAUCGGAUGUGCCCAGAUGGGAUUAGCUAGUAGGUGGGGUAACGGCUCACCUAGGCGACGAUCCCUAGCUGGUCUGAGAGGAUGACCAGCCACACUGGAACUGAGRCACGGUCCAGACUCCUACGGGAGGCAGCAGUGGGGAAUAUUGCACAAUGGGCGCAAGCCUGAUGCAGCCAUGCCGCGUGUAUGAAGAAGGCCUUCGGGUUGUAAAGUACUUUCAGCGGGGAGGAAGGGAGUAAAGUUAAUACCUUUGCUCAUUGACGUUACCCGCAGAAGAAGCACCGGCUAACUCCGUGCCAGCAGCCGCGGUAAUACGGAGGGUGCAAGCGUUAAU